UUGAUCCCCGCCGCCGCCGCUCUUUGCUCGGCGCCGCCCGGGAGCAUGGAGCAGCGCUAGCGGCGAUGGAGCCGCCUGGCCCCCGCCCCGCCGCCCCCGAGGUGACAGCGGGGCCGGGGGGGCGGCCGCCGCUCCGCCCCGGCGGGAGGGAGGGAAGUUGCGCGGGAUGAAGUUGCGGGGAGCGCGGCCCCCCGCGCCGCUCCGCCAAGUUUGUGGCGGUGCCCGCCCGCGGAGCGCAGCCGCAGGUGCCCGCGGGCCGCCAAGUGUCCCCGCCGCCUGUCGCCCCCCCGCCGCGGCGGGGCCGGCCCGCUCCCCGCUGCCCGGGGCCGGCGGGGGCGCGGUAGCCCGGGGCGGGCGGAGCGGCGCCGGCCGGAGCCCCGCCGCGCUGCCAUUGUUACCGCGGGCCGGGGCCGGCCGGCGGCGUGCGGGACCGGGGCGGGCUGCGGCGCGGGGGCGGGGGGCGCCUUUGUGGCGCUGGGCAGGUCCCGGCCGCCGUGCCCCGCCGUGGUGCCCUCGGCGGUAACGAUGUUGAAUGCUACAAUCAUCCGGGAGUUAAGUGCUUGUUUUUUGGAGGAAGAAGCUAAUAUUCCUUAACGUGGUUUCUUGCCUCAGCCUGCAGGCAAGGAUUUAAGCCAGAAACACCGUCAAUCGAGUUUGCCCUGCCAGCAUCAACUCACCUUGGAGGUGUCAGCCCUGCAACGGUGCUUAACUCACGAUGCGCCUCCCCAGCUGGAUGCUGGCACCCAUCAGGGCUGCAUCCUAAAAGCUGGUACCCUGGGGUUUCCCUCCUUGCCUUUACACUUUACACAGAUUUCCAAACUCUGCACCAGUCAACAGACAUUCAGAGCACCGAGAAGCUUCAACACAGGGAUGGAGCAGGGGUCUGUGGGCUGCCGGCACACCGGGCUUGUGCCACAGUGCCAAAAGGGAGCAAUGCUGUUGUGGUUUCCUAUUUGCCUUCUCUACUCUGUGCCGGGGCAGACUUGUGUCCCCUGGCAGGACCACCUGUGUCCGGGGAGGAUGCUCGCUGCCGGAGCAGAGGAGCUGCUGGAAAAUCUCUCUUGGAAGCCCAGCAGUACCAGUUUACUGCAGGCAGAGGAGAGCAGGCUGAGCCCUCACCAUUAAGCAACGCUCUCUUCCCGCUGCGGUGCGUCCGUGCUUAACUUGCCAUCGGUCAGAGAAAGACAACACACGUGGGGACGAGUGUGUGUGGCAAUGCGGGGCCUUCCCAAAGCGUCAGCUCUUGCGCUGGACUGGAGCGGCAGAUCUGGAGAGGGCCAGACGGGCUGUCGGGAGCACUGAGCAUCAGACACCGUGUGGCCUCUGGAGCUUCAGGGCUGGGUUGCUUCUCCCUGGGGGGUGCAUCCCAGGACGUAAAGCCCCCGUUCCUGAAGCAUGGGUGUCCACAGUCCUCCUGGCGUGCCCGGGGUGAGAGCAGCAGGGAUACAGGGACUGUCUGGCAGCAGGGCCAUCCCUGCACGGUGCUGACUGCUGGUUGCAUCGUCUCACUCAGCCCCAGCUUUGGGGACACCAGUUUUUGCCAGAGAAAUGGGUGGGACUCCCUGCAGAGCCCAGCUGGGCAAAGGUGCCUGGGUGCUGUCCCUUCCCACCUCCUCCUGGGGACUUCAGAGCCUGUUGGGCCAUUUUGCCACCCAGCAGAGGAUUUCCCGCUGGCGAGGGCUACGCCUGCCCUCUGAGAGCAGUGUGUCCAGCUACGUCCUUUCCUCCUCCUGCAGGAGCAAGAAAUUGGACAAUGAAAAUGGAGCUGAUUGCUUGAGAGACGGCACGGCGGCCUGGGGCCAGGGGAUGGCACAGCGCAGCAUUUUAAAACUGCAGAGAGAAGACCGCAGAUGCUGGACGGUCACAGGGGAGCUAGACUGGUUUUCAGGUCAGGUGUGACUGUUGGAUUUGGGGGCUCAAGGAAGCCAGGCGCAGACUGAAGGAGAGCUAAAGCACGGGAUGUCAGAGGAAAGCCUGGCGAGGGUGAGCAGGGGAUGGUGCUGCCACAGCCUAGUUCCCGCAGUGAUGGAGGGAUGCAGAGAUGGAACUAGGAUCAGCCUCGUUCAGCUUCUCUGCCAGCGCAGAGACACCAAGGGGCAGCUAACAGAGGGCCUGCCCCAGCCCGCAGGACCAGGGAGCAGCUCACCUGAGCUCACAGCGCUGCUCAUUUCCCCCCGGAGGUGGCUGACAUCCCAUUCAUGGGUUACCUGCAGACGGGAGAGCGAGAGACUGCUCCAUCCCUUGUCUUUUGCUGGGACAGGGAUGAUGCAGAGCAUCGUGGUCCCUGAGCGGAGGCUGAAAUGGGGGUGUAGGAGCCCCAGGAAGCCUUGUCACCCCCCUUGCAGCCCUCCCCGCUGUGCAGUGCCCAUUGGGAGCCGCAUUUCACAGCCCGUGUCUGGCUGCAUGGCUGGGACCUGGCCAAAGUGGAUGCGCAGCCCCUCCAGGUACGAUGUGUGGUUUCUUAAAACCACCUGAUCAGCCAGGCCUGAUCCUGCACCUGUGAAACCCACCGAAUUGCUGGAAAAAAAUGUUUUCUGACAGGAUGGAGAUUUGCAGGGGUGUUGCCAAGCAACUGGCUCAGCUCUGCUGCCUCCUGCUCCUCUCCUCCUCCUGAAGAGUGAGCAGGCAGGGGAUGGCUGCAUCCCUGCAUCCCUCUGCCCUGCCUGGCCAGGGCAGCCUGCCUCUGCCUGCCUGGGGAGGUACCACUGGGGAAGGCAAGGACCACUUGUGGCUGGUGGGCUGGGAUGCUGCUGGCCGGUGGGGGUGAGCGCUGCUGCACGCCCAACCCAUGGCAAAUCUCCAUCAGCAGCAGGGUUAGAAACAGGCUCUCUCUUCCAGCCCUUCUCUGAGCUGUGCAGCUUCCCUUUGAACUAGUCCCAGGAAUGUGUGCUGACACACCGAGCAAAACGCUCAGGAGGACUCAUUAUAACCCGACUUUGAUUAGUGCCACCUCUGCAUUUCUUUGGGAGUUGCUUCGCAUUUACCCUAAGAGAAGUUGGCAGCCCGAACCCUUGGGAUUUUCUUUUCUAAAGCUUUAAUUUAAAUCAACUCUUGGGCAAUAAACUGCCGGUUACAAAACUCAGCUGAUGUCCCUUGUAAGGCCUUGGACCUGCAGCCAGGGCCAUGAAGCAACGGCUGGCAGGAGGGGAGGCAACUGAUAGCUGCGAUCUUGCAAAAGAUCAGUUGCUGAGUGAGUGGCAAUAAAGAGCAAAUCCAGCCAGCUUGUAGAAAUGGCAAAUGGGCCAGACUGCUGAGAACAAUCUGUUCCUUCUCUAGAGAAGGGCUGUGGUGCUGGCGAUGGGCUGGGCAAGGGGCUAUUCUCAGUGUGAGCUGCUCUGAAAUUCUGCUUCAGAAAAACGGCAGGGCCGAGACAGGCUAAUUACCAGGAGACAUGUCCUAAAUCAAAUAAAAAGGCUGCAAGUGGCUUGCCAGGCUGACUCUUCACCAGGGAGGUUUGUGCUGAAGGAGCCCUGCUCUGCCUGGUCCCACAGACCCGCUCGCUGCUGUGUCCAAAGCUUUCUGCUCCAGCAGCACAGCUGCCAGGCUGAUGCUGGGGCAGGGAAACCCUGCUGAUCCACCUCAGGUCAUCCACCGGCCUUUGACUGUGCACUUUACUGUCUCGUUCCAUCACCUACCUAAUCGGG